UUGUUUCGAUCACAUCCUUCAGUUAACCAGCUUUAACGAACAAAAUGGACAGGCCUUUUGCUAAAGAUUUAACUAACAAUGGCCAAAUCUAUCACCUCUUGUAACAGGCUAUGAUUCAAUGCAAAGCCAUAGCUUGUUUACGGUUAAACAAAGGAACUUGAAUAACACUUGAUCAUAAACUCUAACACCUUAGCAUAUUUGGAGGUUCAUUUAGAAUUAGCAGGUUAAAUUGAAGCACAAGAGUACAUAAGACACUUGAUUAACCAUGGAUCAGCUUAUGGGAAUUCAAUUUAGGGAUUCAAAUCUGAUCAAUCUCAUAUGUGAUGCUUCCAAAUAUACAAGCAAAUUCAUGGUCUUGUACUAAACAGUUCAUAAAGUCACAUGAGAGUAACAAUAGAUCUGGAUUUCAUAGAAGAGAAGAGAAACUAAACUUAAUUAUUCUAGCACACAAAGAGAUAUAAGUUCACAAGUGUGUACCUAAUACUCAAAAAUUAAGUGUAGAAUAGCCAAAUAAAAGUGAAUGAAGUUCAGCAAGGGGCAACAAAGCAGUAAUGAUCUCACACCUCCAUAGCUCUUAAAAACCCAGAAAGUAAAUGGCGGCUUCACACGAUUCACCCUUUUUUUGAAAAUUUCUUUUUAGAUCUCCAUUGAGAGUUUAGAAUUUUAAAAUUUUGCUUUUCAGACGCUUUUCUGAAUUUACGGCUCGUAGAUGAAUAACUGUUAGCAUGUGUGAAUUUUUAGAGAUGUGUAUAUGUGUGAGAAUAGUGUCUAGCCCCUUAAAUGCAGAUUGGAAGCUUCUCUUAUGAAAAAAAUCUGAAAAUCAUUUCACAUGCACCCUCCCUAAAAAUAAGGAAAAACAACAUUUAUUCAAACCAAUUCUGGCGGUUGUCCCUUCUUCAAGUACUAUCCUAUUAUUUACAACUCCUUUUUUCUAAAUUUACCCUUUUACACCUCUCAAUUUUACCCAAUUUGCUUAGCUUAUUGCACUUUAAUCCUUUUCUAGAAGAUUCCUACAUAACUACCUAAGAUUCUCUAAAUCAAUUUCCUACAUUGCCCUUCAACACUUCAGUAAUUACCCCUCUUUGUUCUUACCUUUCCCAAUACCUACUGCCUCUCUAAUACUUAAUAGAAUAAAUAUCUACCACACGACUAACCAACCAGACUAGACUAAUAGUGAAUUAAUAAAUCCAAAACUAAAACCUGAAUCCAUUGAAUUAAUAAUUAACUAAAUAUGCUAAUUAUACUAAUGAGCAAUUUAGAUUAAGAAAACUCAGACAACAUGUAAUACUGAAACCAUAAACUAAAAUAAAGAAAAUAGAACUUUAAUGAACUAAAACGGUGAAGGCAUUAGAAAAGGGAAGGAUUAUACCUAUUUGAGUUAAUUCAGAAUAAUGACACUGACCCUGGUGAGCUACAACUGAACCCUAGCAAAUAAACGCGGAUUCUAGCGUGCAAGAGGAAUUGCUACAUUAGCAUUUGGUCGUCGAUUUCUCAUACAAGCUAAUGCUAUAUAUAGAAAUGCUAAUUGCAAGCCGAAUUUUUGAAAGGAGAUGAAGUUUCUUGAAAGCAACUUGGUCGGACAAAUUUUGGUGACCAACAAACGAUCUAAAACUAAAAUCAAACAACGGAUUACCCAAAAACUAUUGCUUGAUAUAAGCUAAAGGCCGUAAAUGAAUCGGAGAAAGGACUGGGUGAUUUUUGGAUUUUACUUGAUUUCUCAGAUCUGAAAAUCGACGAAUUUGGUGGGGAUUUUGGGAAAGUUGAUGGUAGAUUAAUGACGGGGAUGAGGGGAGGAGUGUGGGGUAUGAAUUUGAGGGAGUUUGAAGUGGUGUCGCCGCCGUAGGGCGAUUUCUGACUGCGGCUCUGAGAGAAUGAAAGAGAUGAGAGAUGAGGGGAAGUAGAAGUGU
rnacentral:lncRNA from 1 species